rnacentral:rRNA from 1 species
CGGACGGGUGAGGAAUACAUCGGAAUCUACUCUGUCGUGGGGGAUAACGUAGGGAAACUUACGCUAAUACCGCAUACGACCUACGGGUGAAAGCAGGGGAUCUUCGGACCUUGCGCGAUUGAAUGAGCCGAUGUCGGAUUAGCUAGUUGGCGGGGUAAAGGCCCACCAAGGCGACGAUCCGUAGCUGGUCUGAGAGGAUGAUCAGCCACACUGGAACUGAGACACGGUCCAUACUCCUACGGGAGGCAGCAGAG